rnacentral:tmRNA from 1 species
GGGGCUGAUUCUGGAUUCGACGGGAUUUGCGAAACCCAAGGUGCAUGCCGAGGGGCGGUUGGCCUCGUAAAAAGCCGCAAAAAAAUAGUCGCAAACGACGAAAACUACGCUUUAGCAGCUUAAUAACCUGCUUAGAGCCCUCUCUCCCUAGCCUCCGCUCUUAGGACGGGGAUCAAGAGAGGUCAAACCCAAAAGAGAUCGCGCGGAUGCCCUGCCUGGGGUUGAAGCGUUAAAACGAAUCAGGCUAGUCUGGUAGUGGCGUGUCCGUCCGCAGGUGCCAGGCGAAUGUAAAGACAGACUAAGCAUGUAGUACCGAGGAUGUAGGAAUUUCGGACGCGGGUUCAACUCCCGCCAGCUCCAUCA